rnacentral:lncRNA from 1 species
UUUUUUUUUUUUUUUUUUUUUUGUCUUACUAGUCCAGCUCUCAAAUAUGUAAAUAUACAUUUUUAUUUACAUAUUGUGACAAAAAUAGAUAAUUUACAUUAAUCAUUAGAGAGCUUUACGUGCGAAAAAAAAUAUAAAUUGUUCAUUUCAAGACAUUUUGCAUCUCUAUUAGAGACUAAUUGAGUCUAAAAGUUAUUUGUUCGCCAAAACAUUUGGCCUGAAAAUUCCGUGUCUUUUCCUAGCUAGCUAACUUGUUCAUUCAGUUGUGUGAAGAUAUAGAGUCGUUGGAUCGUGACAAGUGUCAACGGAUGGAGGAAUAAGUUUGUUAUGGUUUCUUAAGGUAGUUAAAAACAGUUAAUAGAAGAUUACUUAAUGUGUAAGGAAAGAUUACUUGAGGUGCAAGGAAAGUUAGGGUAUAUAUAUACUUGUAUUAUGUGCUGUAAGAAUUAUCCUUUGAAUACAAGAAAGAACAAUUCAGUUGUAAUUCUCUCUCUAUAGUUUCUUCUCUUUCUCUCUCUAAGAAUAUAUAGAAAACUCCAUUGAUGUUCAUCAAAGGUUGAAGGUUAACAGUAUAUAUAUGUGUUACGUUCUCUCUGUAAAUCCAUUGGAAUUUCUGUUGUUCCUUCAUCAACCAAGAACAGAUUACGUAAGCAUCAACCAAGAACAGAUUACGUAAGAGAAAUAGUUAAGUUUAGGUUUUGAGUCUCUUUGUUUUCGUAAAUAUGUCUGUGGCUUCUGUCGGAAUGGGUGCUCUGAGAAUGGCAUUUCAAAAACUGUUUGAUGCUGUAAAAUCAGUGCAGGAGGAGACCACAGUGUUCGAGCACCUCCUUGGAGACAUCAAAUCCACUCUGGACUCUCUACAGCCACUCAUCAAAGACAUCGAAAAAUAUAACUCGAAAGAGGGACUGGAAUAUAUUGCAAUACAAAUGGAGGAGGGAGCAAAUCUUGUUCAAAAGUGCAGCAAAGUUGGCGUGUGGAGAAAAUACAAAUACACCAACAAGCUUCAUCAACUGGACAAAUCUCUUCGAAGAGUGUUUGAUCUACUCAAAGUGCAGAGCAUAAUGGAUGCGAGGGAGACAUUGGUUUCUUUGAGGAAUAUCGAGAUGGCGCUCUCUGGAAUAGAAGAGAAUAUGGUGAUCAAAAUUAAUCACCCUGAAAAGGUUGAAUGUUUGUCUGCUGUGCCUGAACCACCAUGCAUUACAGUCGGGUUGGAUUUGCCGUUGAAGGAGUUGAAGAUGAAGCUUCUCAAGGAUGAAAAGGUGUCGAUGCUUGUGCUGACUGCUGCUGGAGGAUGUGGGAAAACCACCUUAGCUAAAAUGUUUUGUCAAGAUCAAGAAGUCAAAGGUAUGCUAUCUAUGAUUUCGAACUUUUUUUUCGUUUGUGAAGUGUUACUUCCUAGCUAGUUAAAAAGUAUACUAUGCACUAGGGCAAAGACCCCUGUAAAACGCCAGCCAGUCCCUCCAAACAUCCACACCACCAAAAACUUGUUAAAGAGAAUACAAGGUACAACGAAGGGGACAUGAAACUAAACCGUGCAAAAAUUAAGAAAGAUCACAAAUUCUUCUGCAUAUAGCUUCAUCUAAAGGCAUAAAUCUCGCAAGGAGCUCUUGCUUGACCACAUAAUUACCUGAUCUGAGAAUUGCAGAUAUAUCUAGUCAACCUUUAUCUUAACACCUUUCUUACAUUUUGUUUGGAUAGAUACAUUCAAGAACAACAUCUUCUUUGUCAAUGUCUCGAAAAAUCCCAACUUGGACCUUAUUGUACAUGAACUAUAUCAACGGAAGGGGUCCGAGCUGCCUGCUUUCCAAAACGAAUUCAUGGCAGUUAAAUGGUUGCAAAAUUUUUUGAAGGAAUCAAGACACAACCCUCUGUUGUUUGUCCUGGAUGAUGUUUGGUCAGGAUCAGAGUCCCUUCUUGAUAGGUUUGAUCAAUUCAAGUUUUCAAAUUACAAGAUUUUGGUCACAUCAAGAUUUGCAUUUUCGAGAUUUGGUUCUCCAUACCAUUUGGCAUUAUUGAAUGAUGAGGAUGCAAUGACUCUUUUUCACCAUUCAGCAUCCUUGGAGGAUAAAAGCUCUUAUACUUCCGAAGAUCUUUCGAGAAAGGUGAUUUCUUAUUUUGCAAUGCAUAACAUUUGAUCAUCCACACGUUAACACUUCCAUUUACCGUCUUAUAAUUAGAAUGGGAGUAGACAUUUAACAAUUUUACCAUCUUUGUUCAACCAUUUAGAUGAUUUACAACAAUUUAACCAAAUUGUAACUGAAUUCAUUCGGAAUAAUUAAAUUGCAGAUUAUCAAGUGCUGUAAGGGAUGCCCACUUGCCAUUGCAUUGGUCGGGAGGUCACUUCGCAGCCAGCCUAUAGAAAUCUGGCAGAAAAGAGUGCUGGAAUGGUGCAAAGGUUCAUCUAUUCUUGAUUCUGACAAGGAUCUGCUUGCUUGCCUCCAAAGCAGCUUAGAUGCCUUGGAUAAAGAAAAGACAAUCAUCAAGGAAUGUUUCCUCGAUCUAGGUUCAUUUCCCGAGGACCAAAGAAUUGCUGCUGCCGUCCUCAUUGACAUGUGGGCGGAGUUAUAUGGUCUAGAUAAAGAAAUUCUGACCAUUGCCAACCUUCACGAACUCACCACUCGAAGUUUGGCAAAUCUUGUUGUCACAAGGUAUGCACGCUGCUCAAAGUUUUCUAUUCCAAUAUGCAUACCGAACAAAUCAUGAAUGAAAUUAGUAUUGAUCAUCCAGGCAUGAGAGGGAGGCGGACGGCUAUUACACUGAACACUUUGUCACCCAGCAUGAGAUGCUUAGAGAAUUGGCGAUCCAUCAGGCAAGUCAAGACCCAAUAGACCAGAGGAAAAGACUAGUUAUAAACAUAUGUGGGGAUAAUCUUCCCAAGUGGUUGACGGAACAAAAGUAUCAAGCUUUCAAGGCUCGACUAUUAUCUAUCUCCACAGGUUCCAUCAAUCUCUAUACUAAAUACUUGUACAUGCACACACGUAUGUGUGCACACACAGACGGUCAUUCAUACUAAGACUUCAAUAGACUUGGGCACAUUUAAUUCAACCCAAACUAAUCUUAAGGCAUGUUGUUUGCAGAUGGAGCCUUCUCAGCAAAAUGGCCAAACAUGCAAGUACCCGAAGCAGAGGUUCUAGUUCUGAAUUUUCAAACAAACAACUAUGCCUUACCUGAGUUUGUGGUGAAUAUGGAUAAACUAAAGGUUCUAAUAAUCACAAAUUACGGUUUGUCACCUGCUGAAGUAGAUAAUUUUGAACUACUUGGCUCGUUAUCAAAUCUUAAGAGAAUUAGAUUAGAACGCAUUUCAAUUCCCUCCAUAAGCAAGGUCCUCAAACAGUUGAAAAGUUUGCAAAAGAUGUCUCUUUUCUUGUGCGAUAUCAGUCAAGGUUUCGUCCAAAUUUUAGAUGCACUGCCAAAUCUAGUGGAAUUGAACAUAGAUUAUUGCCACGACCUGGUGGAACUUCCUGCCAACCUUGGUGACCUUAUUCACCUUACAAAGCUUAGCAUCACCAACUGUCAUAAGCUAUCCACGUUGCCUGAGGACAUCGGAAAGUUAGUCAAUUUAGAAGUGUUGAGGCUUAGGUCAUGUGCAGACUUGUUAGAGUUGCCACGCUCGAUUAGGAACCUUAAUAAUGUAAAACUUUUCGACAUAUCUGAUUGCUUUAGCAUAAAGGAGUUGCCCGAGGAUAUUGGUGCAAUGCGCAGUUUGGAAAAGAUCAACGUUAGCCAGUGCUCAGGAUUGAAAGAGCUGCCUGCUUCUGUUUUGGAUCUUGAGCAGUUGAAUCAAGUGAUAUGCGACGAGGAGACGGAAACUUUAUGGGAACCGUUCUUACCAUAUUUGACAGACAUACACAUAAAGGUGAUCAAAGAAGUUAUGAACCUAAAUUGGCUCAACAAGCUUCCUGGAGGCCAUGGUCUUUGAUCAAUGAAUGUUGGUGCAAUGUGAUUGUGUUUAAUGUUUUUUUUAUGCAGUGUGAUUGUGUUUAAUUAUUAUUUUUCUUUCGUAAUUUACUUCUGUUUUAUGUUAUAGAUGUUUGUCAAAAACAUUGCAGCACUGUAGAAAAAUUGUAAUAAUUCACAAUGGGUAGCGACUUUCACACCCCGUUUUCUCUUCUACACUCCUCACUGUUGAACUCUUCCUUGAUUCUCCUUCAAUUUAUUCAAUUGAACAGCUAGAAUAACAGAGGGAAGUGCAUCGAAAUAAAAGGAGAGUGCAUAAAUCACUACCCGUUACGAAAAAGAAUGUACUAAUCUAUGUAUGUGUGGGCUUUCCUGCCUUUCCACUGUUUUUUUAGAAGACUGGAUAAGAUCACAACCAGGGCAAGAGCCAAUGGAACAAAGAAAGUUUCCACUGUUUUGUGGGUGAUUUUCCUCACAAAGCAAGUUUCCUAGAAAUGGCAAAUUAUUGGUUUUAGUUGCAGUCUGUUUCCUUCUUUUCCUUUAUGCUUUUGCUUCUUUAUCUCAAGCAAACUAUUGGGUAGUGUCUGCUUAUACUUAAAAAUUAAAUAAUUUUAUUGGGAUACAAAAACUAUAAAAUAGAAUGAAAUAUAAAUUAUAAAGUAUUAGAACAUAAUGAUCAAUGAAAACAUGGGAUCAAAUAUAUAAUGUGUGUUCAUACACUACAACAAAAAUGGCCACUACGCACAAUAAAUUAUAUGUGCCCCUUGAGGCCAAAAAGCACCAAUAAUUGUGUUCAUAGACCAAUAGCAACAGUGCAGCUACUAUCUUUGUGUCUGUGCCCUCUACAGGCGUCACCAUUGCUGAAAGAGCACAAUAGUGUAUUUGUGCCAAAGAGGCAAGCACAAACAGCGGUCCAUUUGUGCCCCAUUCUGACAACUUUUUCAUAUAAGCUUUUCCAGCCAUGUUAGCACUUAUAUUAUAAUUGUGCCAACAUGAAUUAAUUAAUAAAAAAAUAAAAAAUUUGAAAAAUUGAAACUAAUUAAAUUGAGGAAAUGAAAAAAAAUUAAAUUUUCAUGAAAUGAAGAAAGCCUACAACCAUGAAACCAAGUUUCACUUUCUGAAUCUCACAAACAUAUAUUGUAAUGUUACAUAUCUUCUCUCUAAUACAAAAAAAAAAAACUUGAAGGCAAACAUUUUUGGACAGAUGCAUCUUCCCUAGCAGGCCUUGCACUUCAUCAAAUCUUUGCUGCUCCAAAAACGAAUUAACCAGAUGACAUGCAGUAUAUGGACCCUCACAGAAAUCAUGAAUAUCAAAUGCAAAGAUAAAGAAAACCACACAAUUUACAAGAGCCAAGAAAAUGAAGGGAUAAAGAAAGUAAGAAGGGAAUACCUUUGGUUCCUCAUGAACUCGGGAUCCUGAAAAUAUAUAAAACUAAAACAAAAUAAACAAUAACUCAAAUCCAAAAAUAUAUAAACUCAAAUACCAAAAAGAACCACAAAUUUGUAUUCCCUUCUUACAUAAAGAUAAGUAUUUUGAAAUCUAAUUUUCAGCUUUAGUGAAGUCUUUCAUCUUUCCAUACGGAAAGAUAAGAUUCAUGGAGCUGUUUAGUUUCUUAAGACUGCGGGCAUUGGUAUGCAAUCAGUUUCAUAACGAUCAAUAAUUUCAACAACCUGACAGAAACAUCAUUUUCCUGAUCAACUACAUGUAGUACUAGAAAAGAAAAAAUAGAUUAUGCAGAGAAUUGGGUUUAAAUCAGCCAUACAUCUCGAGAAGCAAAAAGGGAAGCAACUCCGAUGGGAAUGAAUACAGUGCUUACAAGCAUGAAUGCUGAGAUCACCUGCAAGAACAAGUGCGCACACACACAACGAGAUAAGGCAAGAAUUCAACUAAAAAUCUAACAUGCGAAUGUGGAUGGCCUAACUAAGGAGAUAUCGAAUACAAUACUAUAAAACCUACCCAUCGUGGCGUGAGAAUUGGCUUACACGCUGGAAGUUCCUGCUGAGUAAAUCUUGAAUCUGAAAAGAUCAAGUUUACAACAUUUUUAGUUUACAAUUGAUAGAAAGGCUACUAAGAAUCAUAUGAAAUGCAACGGAUGACAUAAAGUCGGCUUUGUCCAUGCCGACCUAGUCCUGCACCUUAUCAAGUGAACCAACGGAAAAACAAUGGAAAAGCUUCCUCUACAUAUCAACAUCUUAGAUUACAUAAUUUCAGAUUUCACACAUUGGCUGAAAUCACUCACUAUGUUUGUGGCACAUCCAUCUAACACUUAACUCAUUCAAGCUCAAAGAUCAGACCAAAACAAUUUUUUUUUAUUAUACAAGUGAUAUCCUACUCUACACGGAAGAGACGUAGUGGGUUGAAGAGGAAGACUCUAUGAACUAAGGCAAUCCACCACUAGUGAUCAGACAAACACAAUUAAGAAGAUUGAUUAUAUUCAAAAUUAUAAUGUACAGAAGUUUGAGAGAGAAAAAUGAGCCUCAUUUUCCCACUCUACACAAAUGAAUCACAACAAUGACUACUCCACAAGAUGAAACACACACACUAUAACCAAACAACCCCUUAGCAAAUAACUUGGUGGUUUUAAGAAAAUUAGAAUUUCUGCAUUGUAGGAAACCAAAGAAGAAUACUCCGAAUUUCAACCAGCAUAAGGUUUCAUAACUCUAAUUGUCGCAGCGUGUCAAUAAGGAGCCACUGCUUCUGCUUGAGCAGCUCUGGCCAUAACCACCUCAUCCCAUGGAUCAUCACCAACAACCUGCCAUAACCAUCGCCACGAUCAACUUCAUCACCAGCUCCGGCUUCAUCACACUCAUCGACGCCACCGCUAAUCCGCUUUUCGCCAUCCCAUACACCGCUCUCAUACUUGCAAAACACACAAAACCUGAACAAAAUCAUACGUUUCUUAGACCUGAAAUUGAAGAAAUUUGGCUAUGAAUUUGUAGAAACUAACUUGAGGAUCGGAAUGAGGAUGGGAAGAGGAUUAUGGAGGUAUAAUUUGAUGCUCUUUGAUGACCGGUGGAAGGCAACGCUGUUGGCCGUAAGAGAAGAGGGAGAAAAAAUGAUGCGGAGAGAGAGUGAAGGGGAAAGGAGGAGAGAGAAUGGAGGGGAGAGAGAGCAAGGAAGUUUGUGAAAGGGGAGAGAGAGGGUAACCUUUGUUUUUUCAUUCUUUUUUAUAUUGUUAUUUUGCACAAAAGGCACGAUAUUAUUAUAUGUGCCCAUUGAAAUCUAUAAAGUACACAGUGCAAAUAAUUCAAAAUGUAUAUUUGAUUUAAAUAUAUUAAAUCAAAGGGCACAAAACUCCGGUAUGUUACCAUGAGGUUGGAGUUGCACGGCUCACGAUUCGCCACAUCUGGGUGUGUAACUCUUGGCAGACAAUUCUUAGUUAAAAUCACUUUUGAAAUUGAGUGAGAGAUUCAUAGUGUCCUUAGUUAAAAUUACUUUUGAAACUUGGGGUGAGCGAUUCAAGGUGUUUUCAAUUGAGCUAACAUUUGACUUUGGGUAUCAUGGCUUGUGAUUGAAGUUGAACAAUUGAUUAGAGAAAAUAUUUUGGGCUUCAUUAUUUCUAGACAAAAAUUGCAAAGGAAAAUUUGGAGAUGGAAGGGAGGCUUGUGACAUUGUUAACCCUUGAGAAAUAUAUAUUGGUAGCUUUUGUAAAGGCACAAAAGCCAUUUUGUGUCACACAUAGUAUAUUUAAUUAAUAAAGUUUCAUUAUUAUAAAUAUGGACACAUGCAAUUGUGCUUAUAAAUUCUAUUUAUUGCACAAAAAGUCUUUCGUGCCUGUUUCCAUGCCCAAUAAUGUGUUUGUGUCCCUUUUUUUCUACAUUGGGCACAAUAUAUGGUGGCCUUUAUUGAAUGGGCACUUUUUCACCUUAUUGGUGUUCAAAGAGGCACAAACUCCUCAUCUGUGUCCUUAAUUUUGUACCCAAAGCCCAUUUUUCUUGUGGCGAUAGCUAUUUAACAAGUCUCUUCAAUUUAUUGAAAAAAUAAAAAAAUAAAAAAAAAGCUAUCUAUUUUCGGUCUAAGUAAGAGUUGCUACUUAAACGGGUUUGGGCGGGCUUGGCAAGUCUAAGUGUCCUUUUUUAAUUUUUAACGCCUAAGGAUUAUUGGAGAACUGGCCAGUCGCUUAGACCAUUUCCAAUCGAAGGAUCCAGAGGGCCAAAUGGUCAAAAAUGGCCUGAAAACCCUCUCCAAUCGAGGGCCAGGCCAAAGAGCUCGUGGACCCCACUAAACAAAAAAGGGCCAACCGGGCGGCCCAAAUGAGCCAGCCAGUCAGGCCAGGAUUCAAAAAACCAACGGCUAUCUGCUGACGUUAGCUAGCCGUUAUUUUUUAUUUCCUUUUUUUGCAGUUUUUUUUUUAAACAAAAUUUUUUUAUUUUUUUUUUAAUUCUAUUUUUUCCCUAUAACUUCCUAAACUAUUAUACAACAUUAAAUUAAAUUAAGUAACAUGAAACAACAUUAAACAAUAUGAAACAACAUUAAAUAACAUUAACCAAUAUAAAAAUUAUACAACAUGAAAAAUUAAACAACAUUUUUAAAAACAUUUAACAACAUAAAACUUAAACGCCUAUUCCAUGCUUCUUUUGGGCCAAAGAUGUGCAACAAGAUCCUGUUGUAGGUACUUGUUUGUGGCACGGGAAUGUAUCAUCAUAUAGCUAUAGCGCCUCAUGUACUCAUUUAUAGAGAUAUUACUAAUUCUUGGAUUGAAAGGCAAAUUAGGCUCAUCAUAUAUUUUUGCACGAGCCCUUCUUGACCUAUUUGGAUCCUCUUGGUCGUCGUCGAACUCUCCAUCAAUAUACCCAUCUCGAUCAUCCUCCACAAUCAUGUUGUGUAAUAUGAUGCAAGACAUCAUGAUGGAGUCCAAAUUUUCUCGACUCCACCCUUUUGCCAGUUCCUUAAUGAUCUUCCACCGUGCUUGUAGAACACCAAAAGCUCUCUCAACAUCUUUUCGGUAUUCCUCUUGGUGUAAGGUAAAACACUUUUCGGCAUCAUUUUUAAGGUUUGUAAUUGCUUGGACUAGUGUCACCCACUUUGGGUAAAUGUCAUCUGCCAAGUAAUACCCCAUAUUGUACUGACAGUCGUUGAUGUAGUAGUCAAGUGGAGGUGAUUUACCUUCCGUCAGGUUAUUGAAGAGGGGGUGAAUGCCCAAGAACUGUAAUGUCAUAAUGUGACAUCCCACAUCACCCAAGGGAAUGAUCCUUCAAUGUAUAUUAUCAUCCCUACCAAGCACGAGGCCUUUUAGGAGCUCAUUGGCUUCGGGUUCCAUUGGAACUCCGAAGUUAAGCGAGUAGCGCGCGAGAGCACUCCCAUGUUGGGUGACCCACUGAGAAGUUCUCGUGUGAGUUCCUAGAAACAAAACCGUGAGGGCGUGGUCGGGGUCCAAAGCGGACAAUAUCGUGCUACGAUGAUGGAGCGAGCCCAGGACGUGGUGGACCCUGGGCCGGGAUGUGACACAUAAGUUGUAGUUUUUAAAUUUAAGUUGUUGUAGUUUUUAAAAGUUAUUGUAGUUUUUAAAUUUAAAUAAUAAAUUAUGUUUGGCCCUCGGUUGGAGACCCUUUUUUGUGACAGGGCUAAAACGAGCAUAUGACCAUUUGGCUCUCGGUUGUAGAUGGUAAGAGAUAUGACCCUACACUGUUUAUUAAAAUAUUAAUUUCUUGAAGGGCCAAAGGGUUAAAAUGAGCCCUCUAACCCUCAUUCGGUUGGAGAUGGUCUUAGCGCCUAGGCAGCGCUAGGCAAAGAUUUUUAAAACAUCAUGAGUCAUUAACCUACAAAGUUUUGCAAACAACAUAUUCUUUUAUCAUUGAAUAUGAAUAUACAUUGUGUUUGGUUUGAAUUUAUUGAUAUAUUGUUCUCUUCUCGCCUUCCAUACUUAUCUUAAGACUUAAAGAGUAGUCUCUCCCAAUGCAGCCGAGUUUCAAUUUCUCCCCGCAGAUUAAAUUAGUUCAAAGGCAAAUUAUCUCUAGUAUAUAGAAAGUAGGUUCUUCGUUGUUUCAAAUGCAUUUGUGAUCCAAAACUUUUGCUCUCUUGUUUAGAAGUUUAGAUUUUCAGAACUGGGUGGUGGUUGUAAUUGUGGAAGUAGUUACGGUAUUUGUAGGUUCUGCCAUUUGAAUUGCUGUUUGAUGCCGCCAUAAAAGCGCAGGAGACGGCUGAGAUGUUUCCAACUCUCCACAGUGAUCUCAGUUCCACGCUAGAGUCUUUUAGGCCACUGAUCUCAUAGAUAAACCAAACCGGAACCAUUUCGGUUUCUGAAAGGUUUACAAGAAGAAUGGAGGAUGGCAAGCAGCUCGUCAAAAGGUGCGACAAGGUUUCCCCCCGAGAUGCUGAACUUGUUGGAAAAGCGCAAAUAUGAGAAAAAAUUGUUAAAUUGGAUAAAUCUCUUCAAAGACUCUCGCGUCUGCAGAAUCUGCAAUUAGGAGCUACUUCUGCGGUGGUGCUCCACCGAAUUGAUGCAAAUCUUGUGGCGCAAAAUAAAAACCAAAACCAAAACCUUAUUACAACAUGAUAUGUAGUUCCUGACCUUCCAUCCAAUACAUUAUACACUUCUACUGGAUGAGCCUUUGGCGGAGAUGAAGAUGAAACUCCUUAAGGAUGACGCGGGGUCAAUGCUUGCGCUCACUGCUCCGGGAGGAUGUGGGAAAACCACUGUGGAAAAUAUGUUUUGUCAAAGGUAUCUAUCUAUAAAGUUUUUAUACAUUGCGGCAAGCAUUUUUUGGAUGCGGACACUCGAUAUUGUUGAUAUAAUUGGUAUAGCGCACUUACAAUUGUCAAUGCGUGGUCGAUAUUUUGUCCGCAAGGGCAGUUAAUCAAAACGUAGGACUGCUAUCUGUAUACUAAUUAUAUCGGUUUCCUUUUCUCUCUUUUUUCUUCUGAUUAGUAAUGUUUUCAAUUCUCUGUGUUUUCUUGGCUAGAUAAAUUCAAGCAGAAUAUCUUCUUUGCCACGGUUUCAAAUAAGCCCAGUUACCUUGUCCAAGAAUUGUGUCAACACGCCGGAUUCACGGUACCUGCUUAGAAAAUGAAGAAUUUGCAUUUAGCCGGCUGCCGCGGUUUUUCAGUGAAGCAGGGCAAAAUCCUUUGCUGUUAAUCUUGGAUGAUGGUCGGUCUGGAUCAGAAUCCCUUCUUGAUGAGUUUGAUGAAAUCAAAAUGCCAAAUUACAAGAUUUUGGUUACAUCAAGUAUCACUUUCCGAAAUUCAGGCUUCCAUAUAAUUUGCAAGCAUUGACAGAUGAAGGUGCAGUGCAGUGACUCUUUUUCGUCGUUCAGCAUUCAUGCCAAAUACGAGCUCUAACAUACCAGAUUAUCUUCAGAAAGUGGUUAUUUAUUAAUAUGAAUGUCAAAUAUAUAUGCUUAUUUGGAUCGCAAACGGAGAAAAUAAAUUAUGUUCACUUUUUAUCUGAAUCAUCUAUGUACACCAGUGAAGUGUCGGUUUUACCACAUCUGUAAAUAGUUAUUGACUUCACUUUGGAAAAUUGGACGUUGCUGUAAAAAAUUUCUACUGGCCAUUGCAACUAUAGGACCCUCACUUCGCAAUCGCCCUAUAGAGAUAUGGAGAAAAAAGACGAACCCAAUUGUCCACAGAUUCUUCCAUUCUUGAUUCAGAGACUAGCUUGCUUGAUCACCUCAAAAGUUGAUUAGAUGACUUGUAUAAAGGACUGGCUCUGGCUGCUGUAAAGGAUUGUUCAUAGACCUUGGUUUAUUUCCCGAAGACCAAAGAAUCGCCGUUGCUGCCAGCCUUGAUAUGUGGGCUGAGUUAUAUGAGGGAUCAGCUGACAAAGUGUCAAUGGCGAACCUCUACGAGCUCACCAUCCGUAAUUUGGCCGGUCUUGUAGUCACAAGGCAUGGAAAUUUUACUUUUAUAACUAAUUUACUAUUGUGAUAUGCACGUUUCAGAAAUUUCUUCUAUGAAACUAAAUUUUGAUAUCACAACCAGGAAUUAGGAUUUGGAUGGCUACUAUGGUGAACACUUUGCUAUCCAACAUGAUAUGCUUAAAUUGCUAUCAAUUCAUGAGAUUCGUGAAGACCCGAUAGGACAUAUAUAGACUGAUUAUAGACAUACGAGGAGAUGAGCUUCCACGGUGGUGGAUAGAGAAGCAGCAGAAAACAAAGAAGCUCGCUUAGUAUCUGUCUCAUGUUGGUAUCUGUGAUCUCUCUUUCCUUAAAAAAAUAGAUACAUACACAUGUACAAUCACGUACGUACAAGCUCACAUACGCACUUCCACAUUAAUUUCUCCCCACACUCGCAUCAUAUAGCACAUUGUUUUCAGACAAAUCGUUCUCAACAAACUAGAACCUCGACUAUUGUAAUGAUUUGCUGAAAUUGCCUGUGAAGCAGUGCGAUCUUAUCUGCCAGCAUCAACAACUGUCAUAAGUGUUGAGGCUAAGGUCCCGCAGAGACCUGGUAAAGCUUCAGGUCUCGAUUGAAAAACUCACUAACUUGUGCUUUCUUGACAUAUAGAAUUGUUUCGGCAUUAAGGAGUUGCCUGAAGGCAUCGGUAACAUGAGUGGUUGAAGAACGAUCAAUGCACAAUCCUCCAUCAGUGUUUGAUCUUGAUCUGCAGUUAGAGAAAGUGAUAUGGGACGAAGACAAAAGAAAUUUACGGGAACCUGUCUUAUCAAAUAUCGACAAAAUAACUGUGGCCAAAGAAGAAACCAGCCUGGAUUGGCUCCACAAACUUCAAAUUUGAGAGCUGUGUUUACUCACUACAUGAGAUGUUGCAUAGCAAAGACAAUAAACUAGGAUGAGACGAUUUCAAUAUACAACAUCGGUCCAUGGACUAGUGUUUUCUGGUUUUCUUCUUUUACCUUUUGGGAAUCAUUUUCGCAUGUCGCCUUUCGCCUUCUAUUUUGUAACUAAAUUCUCUUUUGAUUUAUUCAAUCUAAAAGUAUAUGUAGGAUGCUAAUAACUUGGAGCCAAAGGCAAAGCUAAUUGAUUAGGCAAUUGAUUCUCGUUAUUGAACUUGGGAUAUUUGUGUAAUUUGACACGAUAGUUUUCUUUUAUAACAAACGAUAUUAUCUAUAUUAAAGAGGAGGGGUAAGCUUAGCUUCACGAUGAGCUAACAAUAAUGUGGUUCAAAUUCGUCUUUGGUGAGAAUCGAACCUAAGAUCUCUCACUUACAUAUGAAGAGGAAUUCCACUAGACGUAAUAGGUUGUCAUGCUCACAUCACAUGUAAUAAAUGAAAUUCUCUAAUAAAAGUGGCCAUGCCGUACAUGUAAUAGAAGAAAAUCUCUAAUAAGAAUUCUCUCAUUUUUCUCUCAAACUAUUUUCCUCUGCAAACUUUUGUCAUAACGGAAUCAAAAUCACAAGAAAAUAUUCACCCAAAGCCCUAGAACAUUUUUUUCAGCUACAUUAGCUGCAAGGAAAAUAAAAUAAAAAUUCAUUUCAGAUCGUCGCAAAACCCCUAUUGGAGCCAGUCAAUUUGUCGCGAAAUUUAAAGAGUCCUCUGUUGCUGGGGUCCUUGACCUACCGCCGCAAAAGCUCUACUUGGGGCAGUUUUGUCCAACGCGUUUAUUUACUCAACUUUGUGCCUACUGAAUCUUCGGCGACAACAAUCGGUUUUGUGUUGGGGACAAACUUCUUGAAAUGGUCGAACUCGAAUCCCCUCAAAGACAGUAGUCAAGAAACCAAAUUAACAAGGCAGGAGAGGAAUAUCUUUGGGUUCGGCAGCAUAUAAAAACGAUGGUUGAGAACCAAUUAAAAAAAAAAGGGAAUUACAAGACCUAUGCAAAACCGCUAAAUAAAACAACAAUCACGCCUUAUCCCCACUAAGUAGUGUCAGCUAUAAAAAGAGGUUUAACAACAUGAAGAGAGGGUGUGGAUUAUCAUGUAUCGAUAGAAUAUCCGCCACUUACCACCCUCACAAACAGAUUAACAAUUCAAAAACAAAUUUACUCCCCAGUAAAAAUAUACAACUAGGUUUAUAAAUAUACGACAGACAGACUCCAACCUCCAACUUCCAAGGAGAGUAUAUGAGAUGAUAUAGCAUAGAGCCUUCAAUCCCCCUAUCUGAUUUUCUAUGCUAAUAAUCUAUCACACACUCUAUUGCACAUUCUCUGUUUUUUACUAGUUUUUCACCAACGGUAACAACUCUUUCCAACUAACAACAUCGCGUACUUGAAUUAA